GAUGAACGCUGGCGGCGUGCUUAACACAUGCAAGUCGAGCGAUGAAGUUUCCUUCGGGAAACAGAUUAGCGGCGGACGGGUGAGUAACACGUGGGUAACCUGCCUCAUAGAAUGGAAUAGCCUUCCGAAAGGAAGAUUAAUACCGCAUAACGUUGAAAGAUGGCAUCAUCAUUCAACCAAAGGAGGAAUCCGCUAUGAGAUGGACCCGCGGCGCAUUAGCUAGUUGGUGGGGUAACGGCCUACCAAGGCGACGAUGCGUAGCCGACCUGAGAGGGUGAUCGGCCACGUUGGGACUGAGACACGGCCCAGACUCCUACGGGAGGCAGCAGUGGGGAAUAUUGCACAAUGGGGGAAACCCUGAUGCAGCAACGCCGCGUGAGUGAUGAAGGUUUUCGGAUCGUAAAGCUCUGUCUUUGGGGAAGAUAAUGACGGUACCCAAGGAGGAAGCCACGGCUAACUACGUGCCAGCCGCCGCGGUAAUAC
rnacentral:rRNA from 1 species